rnacentral:lncRNA from 1 species
UUUGACUUCCUGAGAAAUCAGAUUCCAAUCAAGUGAAGUUGGACUUUGUGGGAAAUGGCUCUGAGCUGCCAAUUCCAGGUCUUAGUGGCCUCAGUCUGGCCGUUCAAGGACAGUCAGAGACUUACUUUGGCUUUGGUGCUGACGGGUGAACAGUCAUCCUGGGCUCAGGUUGCAUUAUGUUUUUUUUUAAAGAACUUUGGCAUCAGUUGUUAAAUAUGUGCUAAGUCACUGGUUAAUGUGUGUAUGUGUGGCCUCCACUGUAACAUGCAACCAUAAGCAUACAGCUUUGUACAUUUGAAGAUGGAAUAAAAAUCAAAAGUUGAGUUUUGAAACAACAUACAGUAUGAAAAAGUUAACAAAUGGGAACUAGAAAAGUACUUUGCUGCAUUAGUAAAAUGCAGAAUCCUGUUGAAAUUGCAGCUCAUGGCUGAUGAAUGUGGCUGGUGGUAUGUUCAAGUGCUGAUGGAAUUCACCGUAAACCAGACCACACAGUGCUAGACGCUGAAGUGUAAACCUCACCAGACCUUUUUAUGUAGUCUUUGUGUAUUAGUGGUGAGUCAGCAUUCAUUUUAUUACAACAUCCUGUGGUCAUUGAACGCCCCACUGAACAGCUGAUGAUGAUGAUGCAUUUUUUCACAUCAAAGGGAUCCAGUGUGGACCAUUUCUCCAGACUGGAGACUGGAAUGGUGAAUAUAUUAUUCUUAACUCAGUGCCCCACUGUUACAACUUUUCCUUCCCUACCGGCUGCUGAUUACCUGUAUCUGGUAUUUUUCCCUCAGUCAAACUGGAAGACGUGGGAGUAGGAGCGAGGGGAAGAUGAGUUGGUGUCUUCCAGCUUCUGAAUAACUGAGCACAUCUGGUUCAGCUGUGAAUAGGGCAGUGAUCCUUGAGCAUUAAUCUAGAGUCAGAUGGCUGCAGUUUACCGAAUGAUCUGAUGGGGGCAGUAGAGGACUAUGUAAAAGCCACGGGCAAGAAACGUGUGUUGCAACACUUCUGUUACAGGAAGGAGUUAAUUAGAAGCAGUAAAUAAGUGGGCAUUGACAUCAUACGCUCCUUAUUUGAGUUUUGCUGUUACACUUUUAUCAGAGUGUCUUGUCUUCUAAUAUUUCAUCGGGUACAAGGCUGCACUAACUGGACGCUACAGCUGUAGCAGAACACACACACACACACACACACACACACACACACACACACACACACACACACACACACACACACACACACACACACACACACACACACACACACACACACACACACACACACACACACACAUCUGAGUGGGAAGCAUGUUUUGACAUAAAGUUCCACAGUGUUCACUGGAGCAACCAGAUCCCAUAUGGUCAAGGACGAUAUAGAUGGUAAGUAAAGUUUUGAAAUUUAAAUAAGUUUGUCAACCUUCGUCUGUUCAGAAAAUGUGGGAGUUGCUUAAAGGAUUGGCAGAUAGUUGUGGAAAAGCUUCAAGAAUUAUCUUUAAAAGUUCUACCACUGUAUUUUAGGCUAAACAGUGUCCGUCCUUCCUCUCACACCCACCACCGGGAUCU